rnacentral:rRNA from 1 species
AGGACGAACGCUGGCGGCGUGCUUAACACAUGCAAGUCGAGCGGUAAGGCCUCUUCGGGGGUACACGAGCGGCGAACGGGUGAGUAACACGUGGGUGACCUGCCCUCAGCUCUGGGAUAAGCCUGGGAAACUGGGUCUAAUACUGGAUAUGACUGCGCAUCGCAUGGUGUGUGGUGGAAAGUUUUUUCGGCUGGGGAUGGGCCCGCGGCCUAUCAGCUUGUUGGUGGGUGAUGGCCUACCAAGGCGACGACGGGUA